rnacentral:rRNA from 1 species
UACAGAGGUCUCAAGCGUUGUUCGGAUUCAUUGGGCGUAAAGGGUGCGUAGGUGGCGCCGUAAGUCAGGUGUGAAAUUUCGGAGCUUAACUCCGAAACUGCAUUCGAUACUGCCGUGCUUGAGGACUGGAGAGGAGACUGGAAUUUACGGUGUAGCGGUGAAAUGCGUAGAUAUCGUAAGGAAGACCAGUGGCGAAGGCGGGUCUCUGGACAGUUCCUGACGCUGAAGCACGAAGGCCAGGGGAGCAAACGGG